GAGGAUUCGGUCAGUCAUGUGACUAAGUCUGACGUGACACAAUAGUGUAAUGAAAAGUGUUGUCAUUGUGAAGUUCUUGUGAACAAGUCGGGAUGAUGGGGUUGACGAAAACAAGCGCUUGCAGCGUUGUGUUGCUACUUGUCGUGGCAAUUGAUACAGGGUUCUCGAAUCCCUAAAAUCAAAGAAUCCUGGGGCUAUGUUGACGUCCGCGAGGGGGCACAUAUGUUCUGGUGGCUUUACUAUGCAGACAGCCCGUCCGCCAGCUACUCCCAGCUGCCUCUCGUGAUGUGGCUGCAGGGAGGCCCGGGAGGAUCAGGCUGUGCUUUGGGAACUUUGAAGAGAUCGGCCCUGGACAGAGACCUUGAGCCUAGGAAAAACUCCUGGGUAAACCUCACACACA